rnacentral:lncRNA from 1 species
GGCUCUAUGGGGCUCUAAGGGGUUUCUAUGGGGCGCUAAGGGGUCUCCAUGGGGGUCUAUGGGGUCUCUAUGGGGCUCUGUGAGGGUCUAUAGGGGCUCUAUGGGGCUCUAUGGGGACUCUAUGGGGGUCUAUGGGGGUCUAUGGGGGCUCCAUGAGGCUCUAUGGGGUCCCUAUGGGGAUCUAUGAGGGUCUAUGGGGUCACCAUGGGGGUCUAUGGGGGUCUAUGGGGGCUCCAUGGGGCUCCAUGGGGUGUCUAUGGGGGUCUAUGAGGGACUAUGGGGUCUCCAUGGGGGUCUAUGGGGGUCUAUGGGGGUCUAUGGGGACUCUAUGGGGGUCUAUGAGGACUCUAUGGGGGUCUAUGGGGUCUCUAUGGGGCUCUAUGGGGUCCCUAUGGGUCCCUAUGUCCCACCACCGCCAAUGGGGCGCCCAUCCCCGGCCCUACAAGUGGGGGGGGGAAAGGGGGGGGGAGAUAUGGGGUCUAUGGGGCUCUAUGGGGCUCUAUGGGGGUCUAUGAGGCUCUAUGGGGGUCGAUGGGAUCUCUAUGGGGGUCUAUGGCGUCUCCAUGGGGGUCUAUGGGGACUCUAUGGGGCUCUAAGGGGUUUCUAUGGGGCGCUAAGGGGUCUCCAUGGGGGUCUAUGGGGGUCUAUGGGGGCUCCAUGGCGCUCUAAGGGGACUCUAUGGAGGUCUAUGGGGCUCUAUGGG